CCCCUAGAUGUUCUGGGCCGCACGCGCGCUACACUGAACAGUUCAACAAGUCUUAACCUUGGCCGAUAGGUCUGGGUAAUCUUUGAACGCUGUUCGUGAUUGGGAUAGACCUUUGCAAUUAUGGGUCUUCAACGAGGAAUUCCUAGUAAACGCAAGUCAUCAGCUUGCAUUGAUUACGUCCCUGCCCUUUGUACACACCGCCCGUCGCACCUACCGAUUGAACGGUCCGGUGAAAUCUUGGGAUUUGCAUGUUGUUGAUUGAUUUCAUGGCGUGCGAAGAACUUGAGUAAACCUUACCGUUUAGAGGAAGGUGAAGUCGUANCA
rnacentral:rRNA from 1 species